rnacentral:rRNA from 1 species
GAUGAACGCUAGCGGCAGGCUUAACACAUGCAAGUCGAGGGGCAGCGCGGGAUAGCAAUAUCCUGGCGGCGACCGGCGGAAGGGUGCGUAACGCGUGAGCGACAUGCCCGUUGCCCGGGGGCAACCGGUGGAAACGCCGACUAAUCCCCGAUGGGAUAUUGUGCCGCAUGGCACGAUAUUGAAAGUUACGGCGGCGACGGAUUGGCUCGCGUCCGAUUAGCUGGUUGGCGGGGUAACGGCCCACCAAGGCUGCGAUCGGUAGGGGUUCUGAGAGGAAGGCCCCCCACAAUGGGACUGAGACACGGCCCAUACUCCUACGGGAGGCAGCAGUGAGGAAUAUUGGUCAAUGGGCGGAAGCCUGAACCAGCCAUGCCGCGUGCGGGAAGGAGGCCCUAUGGGCUGUGAACCGCUUUUGCCUGGGGGCAAUAAGGGCGUCGCGCACGUCCGAUGAGAGUACCAGGCGAAUAAGCAUCGGCUAACUCCGUG